UAAAUUUGCUUUCCAUCCGACUGUUCCUAAAACAAGUGGCAAAGGGCUUGAUGGUUGGUACCCGAUGUUUCAAGUUCGAAUGCUAAUUGAUUCACAUUUCUAACUAAGUUUAUUUCUAAAUAAAAUAAAUGAAGCAGAUAGCGUGCUAUCUAUCUCUCAAAAAAAAAAAGAAAUUUUCCAGUUUAAAUUUUUAUAUUUUUAGUUUAAUCUUUUUGGAAGGUUUUCAUGUGUAUUUGAUGUUAUGUGAA
rnacentral:lncRNA from 1 species